UCGGCAGGGGCGCAUUUUGCUGAGAUGUACUGUUUUACAGUCGGUCCCUUAUGACCUGAUCUAGUUAAUGCUAGCGUAGGGAGCCUGUAUC
rnacentral:ncRNA from 1 species